GCUUUGUGGCAAGGUCAUUUUCCCCCUCGAUAUGAUUUUUUUUAUUUCCCUUAUGAAUGCAAUAUUUUUUAUAUUUUUGAAAAGCAUAUAUUCCCUGCUUUCAGAAGAUAUACAAUUAUUUUUAAUGCCUUGCAAAGUUAUAAGAAAAUAGCAAUUUUUUGCACAUGUACGUUUUCUUACGAUUUUAUUUCUCAAUGUUUAAACAGGUCGGCAUUUUACCUAUACUUAUAUAUAGAAAUAGGGAAAAGUAAAUACAGCCGCUAAAAGUAGAGGAAAUUUCCUUUUUGAUGGGCCCUUAUUCGUGUUAUAAUUCUCGGUAGUUUUUAUAUUACGAUAAAAUAAAAUUGGGACAUGCUGUGCGGUUUUCUUUAAAAUUAGCGACAAAACGUCGUCGCUGAAAGCAAUCGACGCGCGUCGCACAAUAAAGUGGUGAAAACUAUUUGUAUUGUCCUAUAUUAGUAAAUUCAGUACCUUUUGAUACACUACAACAAUAUACAUAUAUGUAUGAAAUAAUCAGUCUGGUUAUCCCUGCUUUUUUUCAAAAAGCUUAAAACCAGUAUUGGUAUAUAACAGUUACACAACCUACAAACACCUAUUGAGAAUGUUACAUCGGCAAAGUAAAUUUAAAAAAAAAGAUAGAUAAACUACUUCAAAUUCAGAUAUAAACGCUAUAUUUGUUCAGAAUAGUAAUAGUAAUAUUUUUUCCCUGCCAAAGAAAGAAAACAAAAAAAAAAAGAUUUUCGCAUUUAGCCUAUACACUUAUUUUUCCGUGAUCGGGAUCGUGGGCCCCGCGGGGUUUUCUGAAAGUGUGCACGGGGAACACACGUGUUUCCGUUUCAACGAAAACAACACAGCUUCACUGUGAUUGUCACAGCGAACGCUUGUAUUUUACAUCUUUAAAACGACCUUAUAUCAGAAGAAGAAGAUACCCUGGAUCUCCUGUUGCAGGAUGACCCAAACGAUCAUGCAUUCAGUAUAAACAUGUAGAUGGUAUUGACAUCCCAAUAUUUAGUGGGAAGGUCCCAGGUAUCAUCCGCUAGUGACAGUGACUACUGGCAAACCCAGACAUGCAUUGGAGGGAUGUUGAUGUGGAGGACACAGGGACACCUGAUCCAAGAACUGUUAUAUUUCAUUCGGUUUCGGAGUGACAACCUGGCAUUCAGUUGAUAUGGGACCCGUUUAUUCAGAGAACUGCAGAUUUUAUGAAGCUGUUUUGACAGAAGAUUUAGUUUUCUCCAUCUGUGUUGCCAUCAACCAUUAUGCUGAGCUGGUCAUAUCUAGAGGGAAGGAUCGUCAUAUGCUUCCCAAGGAAGUUCGCAGCCUCUCACUGAAGAGGAUACUAGUUAAAAAAAACCGAUAUUGUGACAGUGAUUUCCAGUUUAAAACGAGUAAUAAAAUGCAUAAUAAAAAUAUUACCUUUACCAAAAUUAA